rnacentral:rRNA from 1 species
UACAGAGGGGGCGUAGCGUUAUUCGGAAUUAUUGGGCGUAAAGGGCGCGUAGGCGGCCAUGCGUGUCUUCCGUGAAAUCCCUCGGCUUAACUGAGGACGUGCGGAAGAAACUGCAAGGCUCGAGUCCGGGAGAGGGGGGUGGAAUUCCCAGUGUAGCGGUGAAAUGCGUAGAUAUUGGGAGGAACACCGGUGGCGAAGGCGGCCCCCUGGACCGGUACUGACGCUGAGGCGGCGAAAAGCGUGGGGAGCAAACAGGG